rnacentral:rRNA from 1 species
GACGGAGGGUGCAAGCGUUGUUCGGAAUUACUGGGCGUAAAGGGCGCGUAGGCGGUCCGCUAAGUUCGGCGUGAAAUCCCCUGGCUCAACUGGGGAACUGCGCUGGAUACUGGUGGACUCGAGUACCGGAGAGGAGGGUGGAAUUCCUGGUGUAGCGGUGAAAUGCGUAGAUAUCAGGAGGAACACCGGUGGCGAAGGCGGCCCUCUGGACGGAUACUGACGCUGAGGCGCGAAAGCGUGGGGAUCAAACAGG